GUAGGUCUGUCCUGCCCAGUGAUAGUAAUUCAACGGCCGCGGUACCUUGACCGUGCAAAGGUAGCAUAAUCAUUUGCCUUUUAAUUAAAGGCUAGUAUGAAUGGAUCCACAAGAAUAAAACUGUCUCAUUUCUAAAAUAAAUAUAAACUGAUAUCUAAAUGAAGAAGUUUAGAUAUUAAUAAAGGACAAGAAGACCCUAUAGAGCUUUAUUAUUAUUUAGACAUACUAAUAUAAUAAAUUGAUUGGGACAAUCUUAAGACAUAUAAACCUCUUAUAAUUUAAAUAUACUACACCCUAACUUGUAAAUGAAUAAGCUACCUUAGGGAUAACAGGCUAAUCUUACUAAAGAGAUCACAUUGACAGUAAGGAUUGGCACCUCGAUGUUGGCUUAGUGUAACUAUAGGGUGCAGCCGCCUUAUUAAGUUGGUUUGUUCAACCAUUAAAUCACUACAUGAG
rnacentral:rRNA from 1 species